rnacentral:rRNA from 1 species
UACGUAGGGUGCGAGCGUUAAUCGGAAUUACUGGGCGUAAAGCGUGCGCAGGCGGCUUUGCAAGACAGAUGUGAAAUCCCCGGGCUCAACCUGGGAACUGCAUUGGAGACUGCGUGGCUAGAGUGUGGCAGAGGGGGAUGGAAUUCCGCGUGUAGCAGUGAAAUGCGUAGAUAUGCGGAGGAACACCAAUGGCGAAGGCAAUCCCCUGGGCCUGUACUGACGCUCAUGCACGAAAGCGUGGGGAGCAAACAGG